GACGAACGCUGGCGGCGUGCCUAAUACAUGCAAGUCGAGCGCAGGAAACUGACGGAACUCUUCGGAGGGAAGGCAGUGGAAUGAGCGGCGGACGGGUGAGUAACACGUAAGGAACCUGCCUCAAGGAUUGGGAUAACUCCGAGAAAUCGGAGCUAAUACCGGAUAGUUCAUCGGACCGCAUGGUCCGUUGAUGAAAGGCGCUUCGGCGUCACCUUGAGAUGGCCUUGCGGUGCAUUAGCUAGUUGGUGGGGUAACGGCCCACCAAGGCGACGAUGCAUAGCCGACCUGAGAGGAGGAUCGGCCACACUGGGACUGAGACACGGCCCAGACUCCUACGGGAGGCAGCAGUAGGGAAUCUUCCACAAUGGACGAAAGUCUGAUGGAGCAACGCCGCGUGAGUGAUGAAGGUUUUCGGAUCGUAAAACUCUGUUGUAAGGGAAGAACACGUACGAGAGGGAAUGCUCGUACCUUGACGGUACCUUACGAGAAAGCCACGGCUAACUACGUGCCAGCCGCCGCAGUAA
rnacentral:rRNA from 1 species